rnacentral:lncRNA from 1 species
CCCAUUCUCCGCCCAUCCGGCAGUGUGCUGGAUGUCGUCCUCCUCGACACGACCGUCCCCGAAGAGCUCUCUUGGUCAGAGGAGGUGGAGCAGCAAGGCCUCCUAUCCUCCAGCGCGUGGACCGACGGCUGCGUCCUCUUGCUCUCCUAGCGUGGUGAGCUUCCCCUCUACCCCCUACCCCAGAUCUGGAUGAUACUUGCAAUUGUGCAGCUAUAUAUGAAACAAAUCAGGUCUUGGUUCAGUUUUGUAUGUGUCAAUUUGAUUAAACCUUGACUAAAACCAAAGCAUCACGUUUUGAUUAAACGUUUACAUGAGUUGUUAUUCUAUUCAAGUGGGUGAACUAAGCCAUUUUUAUUUAGUUUGCUCUCUACUAUGCCAAAGCCAUCAUUGUGAGAUAUCACUGCAUUACAUUUUCCCAGAAUUACAAAUUAGCCACGGACUUGAUUUGUUAUUUGGACCACUAGCCUUUUGGGCACCAGAUUUAUAUUAUUAGCCCAGUACUGCAAGAAUUCCUAAGAUUGACCUUUAGGCAUCCCUACAACUAACCACAUGCUAGAGGAUUUGAGCUGGUACAUAUGAAUCAUCGACUCUAGUUCCAUGUUUGUCAUGACUUUAGUCUGAACCAAGCAUAUGUGCCUCUUAACUCCUCGUCCAUAAAUAUCUGAUGUUGACACUCUCCCAGGUCGGUUUCCAUCGUGUAUAUCAUGAUCGGAGAUGUCUGCCUGUACAUUAUUGGCAAGGAUGAAUAUGAUGAGCUUGCUUCCUGCUGCAGAUCCGACCUCUUCUAUCUUCGCCUGACCACGACCACAACGAUGGCGAGGAGAAGGCUACGAGGAGGUGGACAACCUUCAGGCUGCCGCACAAGACGACCAAGGCCCACUCUACUCUGCUGCUAUCCCUCUCUCCAGCUUUGUAGAAACACUCGCUGGGUGCUUCCCUUGCCCCUAGCAAUGUCAAUGAAUCAUAAUGGUACUGUAGGCACCGAGGAAAUUGUGGCAUUUUGUUUAAUUUGUUUAUUCAUUUGUUGCAGUCUGUGCUCUGUUGUGGUGAAACUCUAGUGUUUCUGCAACCUACAAGUGCGUAUGGGCACUGAUUUCUAGAAGUAUUUAAGUUGACAUCUUUGUUGGUUUAGAUAGUACAGAAAUUUUGAAGGGUGGUUGAUUUGCUUCUGUUUUUGAAAUAGAGGUGACUAUAGUUAUGCAUGAACAAGAAUAUGCUUGUAACUGGUGACAGAUAUGUUCUGCUAACCAGCUUUGCAGUUUGCCACAUUGGUGAUGGAAAUGCCCCUAAAUGAUGAUAUCUUAGCAAGUGCUUUCUUUGAUGUUUAACCAUGUUACGCUUGUCCAUAAGUACUGCCGUUGAUUUUGGUAUAUGAGCACUAGUGUUUUCUGCUUACAACAAGCUAUGUAUUGUACAUAUGUCCAUUUUACCUGUGUAAAUAGUUUGUUUCAUACCCAGUAACAUGUUUCCUCAUAAUGAAUUAUUUGUGCCAUGUGAAUCAUUGCUGCUAUCCUGCUACUAAUGGAUACAAGGACGAAAUGCACAGUUUCCUGUCAAGUAGUGUUUGUUUGGUGACAGGAUGUUGUUUUUUACUUCCAAGUAUAAUGCUCCUUUCAUGUAGUGAUGAUACUACAUCUAUUUCAUUCCAUGUUUAUGCCUCUUCCAGAAAAUGUGCUGCACCUACAAUAAUCAAUCUAACUUAUCCAUUUUAUUUUAUAGGCCUUCGAGUACAAGAGGCUGCUGCUUGACUAUAACAGCGAACACGACCAACAAGUUCUGCCAGCGCGAGGCAAGCAACGACAUGCUCGGAUACCCCCACCUGUGAGUCGCGCUCCCCUUGCCCAGCCGCCCCUUCCCGCAAGUCUCUCUAGAUUUGGGAGCACUGCUAGAUCCUCUGCACUGGAAACGAUCAUAUAUUCAGAUGGUAUGUUAGUUUCCGUGGUUUUUGAUAGGCCCGGCAUCUGUUGGCGUUAACCAUUUCCUGUGUGGUUCUUCGUAGCCUUGUUGCUGUUGUUGACCCAAACCAGUUUGCGUGUGAUUGCUGGUACCUAUAUGUUAGUAUUGUUGCUGCCUACUAUGAGCUUGAAUGUCUUAGGCCCUGUUCGGAAUAAAGGGUAUUAAAACACAAGAAUUUAAGAAACAGUAGGAAUGAGAAAGGAGAAGCAGAGCAAAACUGCGGAUCUAGAAACGUAGGAAAGCUUGAGAAAAACGAGUUCGGGUCGUUGCAAAAACACAUAGGAGUCGGCUUAUGCAUGGGUUGUGAAGUAUAGAUUAAAAUAUAAUUUAUUCAGCAUGUAACGUACUAGCUGCUUUGGUCUCCAAGCUGCUGGCACACAAAGGUAUAUUUUAUUAGGAUGUACAGUGCAACUGUCAGCCUGCACUCAUUGUUAGCUCUGGGCUGCUUCGCUCUUACGCGAAGACACGAGCUCCGGUUGGAUUUUUAUUUUCCCGUGAAAGUUAGAGGAAUCUGAUGGUUGAAAUCCUGUGUGCCGAACGCUAGUUCUUAGCAGAUUUCCUCCGUUUUGGGUUCCUGUACCUUUUCUUUGAAAUUCCUGUAAACCGAACAGGGCCUUAGUAGAACAUCACCAGGUCAAUGUGUUAUAGUCAAGUUUUGGAAGUUUUGCCAUGCCAUGCUUAGUGUUUACUCAACUGUGGCAUUUGGGAAUUUAGGUGUAAUUUUUAUUCUCUUGAAUGGAUAUUUUUUUAUUGACAAUCAUUUAACUUCCACUGUAUCUUACUAAUAAUUUAUGUAGAUCAGCAUCUAAAGUUGUCGAGUGGCUGCUGCUGUGAAUGAAGAUCAGAAGAAGCCUAGAGAUGUGCACAAUAGUUUUAGUUGAUGUUGCCACCAUGUUUUGGUGCGUGUGUAUUUGUUUCCGAUUGUAUGUACACUUGAUGGAUCGUGCGGAUGUGUAUGAGCUAUUGUGAGUUUCAUUGAGGGAUUUCUAGAUUUGAUCAUUUAAUUGUGAGAAUUAUUGAUUGUUUGUUGUUGAAAUGUGUAAAAUUGAAA